UGCGGCUCCUCCGGCUCCGGCUCCGGCCCGGUGCGCGCGGCUCGGCUCGCGGCUCCCCUCUGGCUCCUGGCACCGGCUCGGGGCCGUCACAUGACGCCGGCGCCGCUCGCUCUGCGAGCCUCCCGGGGCUGGCGGGGCCCGGUGACCCCGAAGCAAACUUCCCACGGGCCAGGCCUGGCCCUGGAGCGCAAAGGAGACCGAUAGCAGCGGCGUUUGCUCAGCCGGGCCUGCCAGGAAACUUGGCAAACUUGGGGCCAGGUCCUCCCUCCCGCUCCCGCGGGAGAACUCGGGGCAGCAGAGGACUCUGCACCUCCCCCCCCCGUCAUUUCACGUCGCCUCCCUGGGACCCAGCCCAAGUGUACCCCGUGGCCUUCCCUGUACCGGGUCGGCGGAAACGCGCGUUCAGGCCAAGCCAGGCCAUUGGGAGGACUUUGGAUAGCAUGGUACUAGUUCAGUGCUUUUGGAGAUUUGUGUGUGUGUGUGUGUUAACAGUAUUAAUGUAAUAAAGAAUUAAAUAAAAAAAGAACAAAGGACAAAUUGGUUCAAUUGUUUUAGUCCUGUGUAAUGUUUAAAAAAAAAACAAAAAAAAACGCCCUGCUUCAGUCUAUGACUUGUUAUUGCUUCAAGAUGUUUGAAAGGCCCUUUAAGUUCACCCGGCUCACUUUGAUGCUUCAUCCAGGCAUGGUACUACUUAAAACGCGGAGAUAGAGAUAUUCGGAGCCUCAUCAUCAUCGAGCUAUACAGUAAUAUAAAGUUAGUACCAGCAACCCCAAGUAGUAAAAUUACAAAUUGUUAAAAAAAAAAAAAUGCACGUAAAAGCCCACACGGAGAACACCCAGAACUGACACUGACUCAUGUGCCAUCGUGCUGCCUCACAAGAUGAAUCUUUAAAAUGUAAAGAGCUGAGAGCUUUUUAAAGAAAUGAAUAAAAGACAAAGGCAAGAAAAGAAAAGUCAAACUUGUGUCAAUUAUUAAUUGCAGUUUACUGAUCACUGACAUCAUUAAAUGUCUGAUUGGAUGCCUGAGAUUUGUAUUAGCUGAAAAGCUUUUAUUAGGGAUGACUGAUGGGAUUGUUUUUGCAUUUCUGGGCUCAUGGUAGGGGCUCAAAAAAUAGAGGCUUCACUCAAGGGACAGAGUGUUGAAAGCCUAAAGCACAAAAACCAUGUUUUGUACGUUGUUCAUGUGGGUGUGGACCCAAAGUAGAAGCUCGAAAUAGGUCCAUCUGAACAAAGUGGGACUGGCCUUGACAUGAAGGGUGGGGGAGGGCAGAGAAGAGUCAUCCAAAGGGUUAAUUAGCGAACACGUGGUGUUCAGUGCCCUGUGGGAGGCAGCUCAAGCGCAUCUUGUG